CUUGUCCAAGAUGAUGAUACUCCUGCCCUGUCACCUACUCUCUUGUGAUUACCAUUUGCAUGGGAUAUCUUUUUCAUCCCUUCACUUUCAGCCUAUGUGUGUUCUUAAAUCUAAAGCAGAGUGUGGGUUCCAGAUCUGACGAUGACUCCCUUAGCCAUGAUCUGAAAUGAAAAAACAGUGAAGGAAAUUUCUUGAGCUGGACACAGUUCUCAGCCUUCUAUUCCCCACAUGACCCACUUUCAGUUGUCAAGUCUGUGCUGGAGAGAAUCAACCUCAAGAAAACUCAUGGAAUGAAGGACGCACAACAAGAACACAAGGUGGCUGUGUGCAAGUAGUUUAUUUUGACAUUCCUGAGCCUAUUGACCACUUUUGUCCUACUGAUAAGCUGCAAUUGUAUUCCAUGGCCUCAUUCUUACCAGGUAAUGGAAACUGAGCUCCGAUAACUCUCCCAUGGCCUGUCUAUUCAGUGUAUAGUGUGCCGUGAUAGUCUCCGUGUGGCCACAGGGCAGGGUACCAGCCACAGGCUCCAGGUGAAUGUAACUUCCACUUAAGGAGAAAACACGAUUUGCAGUGUGCUGAGCACCCUGGUGGUCUUCUGCUACCCAUGAAUAGUGAAAACACAAGUUGGGAUGCACAGUGAAAACCUGAGUAAACAGAAAAGCAAAGAAAGAAUACUGUCUUGAAAUUCUUCACCUUAGCUUCUCACCAAAAUGAAUAGUUACAACGGUGUCUUCCACUCUAAAAUACACUAUGCCUCUCCCUCAUACUGGUCGACAGCCAAAUAAAUGAAUUUUCAGUCUCCCAACAUUCAAAUAUUAAAAGGAAAUCAUCCACAAAUUUAUCUCUUUUGCCCUGAUUCUGCUAACUCAUUACUACUUUGACAUUUUCCUCCUGCCCCUCAGAACUAGAGGAAAAAUGAGAAUGAUAAAUAACUCAAACAAGUGGAAAAGGGAUUUUUCAGAUAUUAGAAUUACCUCAUGAAUUGGCUUAAUUAAAAUUAGGGUUUGUAUUAAUAAAACAUUCUAUUACCUUAUGAGCUUCAAAAUUGUUUUUAGUAAUCCUUAGUAAAUUAGCAUUUAUGCCUCUUAUCAUUAUUGUGACUUCCAACCUUUAAGACCUAUGUGAUUUCUGAAACUUUAAGCCUUGCAGAUAAUGUUUUGCGCACAAUUCUAUUUCCCUUGUGGUAACUGCUCCUUAGCUUUUCUUCAAAGUGCACUUAUUUUUUUCUAAAUUUAUUAGGCAUAUUUUGUGGACUCUUCUAUUUGGUCUCAUAAUAAAGUUCCUAUUUAAAAAAACCUUUUGCGCAUAAACACAUCAUACUAAUAAUUUACAGAUCUUUUAACUCCAUGAAAAUAGGAAAUUUUAAAGUGUAGGGACACUAUUUAGUCACCUUUUAAAUCCUAGGGAGAGUGAGUGUCUAUCACAUAGAAAACAUUAAACAUCAUUACAUGUUUUUAAACUGAGUUAACACGUGAAACUGAGAAACAGAAAUAAUGUAUAUGUUAUUUAUUGACACUGAAAUCCAUAAAUUAUAGUCUUUUAUCACUUCUUUGAGAUAACAAGCAUGAAAACUUUUUAGCUAGGGAAAUCUUUUGAUCAUCGUCAUUAGACAGUGUAUAUUAAGUGUGUGUGUGUGUGAUCACUUUACAAAAUUUCUAAGUGACCUGGAAAAAAUAACAUAAAACAAAGUACAUGAAUUACUGAAGCAG
rnacentral:lncRNA from 1 species